GAUGAACGCUGGCGGCGUGCCUAAUACAUGCAAGUCGAGCGAAUGGAUUAAGAGCUUGCUCUUAUGAAGUUAGCGGCGGACGGGUGAGUAACACGUGGGUAACCUGCCCAUAAGACUGGGAUAACUCCGGGAAACCGGGGCUAAUACCGGAUAACAUUUUGGACCGCAUGGUUCGAAAUUGAAAGGCGGCUUCGGCUGUCACUUAUGGAUGGACCCGCGUCGCAUUAGCUAGUUGGUGAGGUAACGGCUCACCAAGGCAACGAUGCGUAGCCGACCUGAGAGGGUGAUCGGCCACACUGGGACUGAGACCCGGCCCAGACUCCUACGGGAGGCAGCAGUAGGGAAUCUUCCGCAAUGGACGAAAGUCUGACGGAGCAACGCCGCGUGAGUGAUGAAGGCUUUCGGGUCGUAAAACUCUGUUGUUAGGGAAGAACAAGUGCUAGUUGAAUAAGCUGGCACCUUGACGGUACCUAACCAAAAAGCCACGGCUAACUACGUGCCAGCCGCCGCGGUAA
rnacentral:rRNA from 1 species